AAGAGGAAUUCCCAUGACGGAUUCUGUGUCAAAUCCGUCAAUUCCGACCUCCUCCUGGAACGUGCUUCGGCUCAGGUGGAUGGCCUGACCUGCCUACUGCCCACGGUCGCCGAAGUCAGGUCGACAAGCUCUCAUGACUCCCUCCUCCAAAUCCCGAGACUCCCUUGCCCGCUCGACGCUCAUCAAGAUGGGCGUGCGCAUCGGGGUAAUCAUCGCGCUGAGCACUGUCUUCAGCUACCUGCACAUGUUCCACACCCUGCGCACCGCGGCGAUCGCGCACUUGGAGCAGCAUGUCACGGAGCGCAGCCAGCGCGAGCAGGCCAU
rnacentral:misc_RNA from 1 species